rnacentral:rRNA from 1 species
UACGUAGGGCGCGAGCGUUGUCCGGAAUUAUUGGGCGUAAAGAGCUCGUAGGCGGCUUGUCGCGUCGGUUGUGAAAGCCCGGGGCUUAACCCCGGGUCUGCAGUCGAUACGGGCAGGCUAGAGUUCGGUAGGGGAGAUCGGAAUUCCUGGUGUAGCGGUGAAAUGCGCAGAUAUCAGGAGGAACACCGGUGGCGAAGGCGGAUCUCUGAGCCGAUACUGACGCUGAGGAGCGAAAGCUAGGGGAGCGAACGGG